rnacentral:rRNA from 1 species
CCUUUGUACACACCGCCCGUCGCUACUACCGAUUGAAUGGCUUAGUGAGACCCUCGGAUUGUAGAUUGUACUGUUGGCAACAACAUACGGUUCGCGAGAAGUUGGUCAAACUUGGUCAUUUAGAGG